rnacentral:lncRNA from 1 species
AAAAAUCGGUUGAAUCGUUAAAAUUUGAGGAAAGACUGUAUUUUUAAUAAUGUGUUUUGUGCUGACAAUUUUAGUGUGACUGGUUUAAUUUUUUUCGAAUAAAAUUUAUACUCGAUUUUUAUUUUUUUUUAAUUGGUCAAAUAUUUUUUAGAAUGAUAUUAAAAAUUAGUUAGUUUUUUUAAAUAUUAGUUAGAUUUUUUAAAUAUUAGUUAGUUUAAAUAUUAAUUAGUUUUUAAAUUUUAGUUAUUUAAUUAAAUAUUAGUUGUUUUUUUAUUAGUUAGUUUAUUUAAAAUAUUAGUUAGAUUUUUUAAACAUUAUGUUAAUUAGUUCUUUAUUAAUGUUUUGUAUAUAAUUGAAUUAUUAGUGUAAUUAAAAAAAUGUGUUAGCAUUGGAUUCCAUGAUCUCUCUUCUCUCUUCCAUAAAAAACAAAAAAAUCUCUUUGUACCUCUCUCUCACGUUUUCCCUAACGUCUCCCUCAUUUCACUCUCCACUGUCUCUCCACUCACCUACCACUAUCACUCACCCACUAAAAUUUCCACUCACCUCUCCCUCCUCAGAUAAACGACAAAAAAAAGAAAAAAUAAAAUCCCUCCUAUCCUCUCUCACUGCUAUUCACUCUCUCACUCACGCUCCAUUCCCUCUCCCUCUCACUCAUAAAUAACACUUACUAUUCACUCCCUCUCUCGCCUCCACGGAAAAACCACACACAUCACCCUUUCGCUCACUCACAUCUCCUUCACCACCAUCAAAUUUCUUCACCGAAAUCACAACCCAAAAUUCCUUCCACCACCUCAAAAACAAUCGCCGAUAGUCACCGUCAACACCAUCGACCACCAAAUCUCACCGUCAAUCAUCUUCAAACCGCUUCAAACCCUCAGCUCGCCGCGAAUUCUACGGCGAAUCCACCGUCCACCGCCGAUUCCAUCUCUUCAUCUCACACAAAACCCUCCGCCUCCACUAAGUUCUUCAAUCACUACAAGAAACCCUCUAUCAUCACCGUAACCGAAGCCGCCGGUGACUCUUUGAAGCUUUAGAGCCAUAGGUAUGUCAAGCGAUGAUGUAUUUCAAGUUGUUGCUGCGGUUACAUUGUGAUUCUGCUACAACCAAUAUAGUGAUUACGACGACUUUCCGAUGCACCGGUGUUAGAGCUGACAUCACAGUUUGUUUCAAUAAUUUCAGCCUUCAAGUUCUCGUGGGUAACUGUUUUUAGUUUCGGUUCAAUUAAAUUUUUCUGUGCUGGAUAUUUCUGAACGCCAUUUGAGUUAUUGUCGAUUAGCAUUUUAUUCUUAUCUUUGAAACUCUGCAGAAAUAAUGAGAAACAUGAAUGCAGUUUGUUUUUUUUGGAAUUUAGGUGAUGAUUUUUUCGAUGCUUGUGGUACCCAUUCUGUUAAAGUAAUUUUUAAUCUUCAUAUAUUGUUUUUGAUUGCUGCAUGAAUGAGAUGAAUGUUAUAGUUACUGAGCAAAGACUGCUUGCAGUUACUUUUUUCUGCUUUGGAUCUAUUGUAGAUAUAGUUGGAUUUGAAGUUUUCAAUAGAGGGGGCCAUGGGUGCUUUCUUUGUUUUUUUUGUUUUUUGAAUGAUUCUGAGUUAGGAUGUCCAUAACAUUUUGGAUUCAUGAGUUGUAUUUUGUUGUUCUAUAAUCUAUUUCUGUCACAUUUCAUUUAAAACAUUAUGCUGGAAUUCGUUUGUAUAUAAAUUGUUGUAGGACCAGUUUGAUUGUUAUCCGUAAGAGCUUUCGUGCGACUUAAUACGACGGGUCAAUACGUGUGCUGUAAAUUGCAUUUAUCGAUUAUCGGU